AUGCCAUGUUGGGGACACUUCCUAAGUAGUCCUUUGAAUCUUUCCCAUGCUUCAUAUAGAGAUUCACUUCCUUUUUGUUCAAAAGAAGUGAUAUCCGCCUUGAGCUU